UGAGGAAUAUUGGUCAAUGGACGCAAGUCUGAACCAGCCAUGCCGCGUGAAGGAUGAAGGUCCCCUGGAUUGUAAACUUCUUUUAUCUGGGACGAAAACGGGAUUUUUAUCUCAAUUGACGGUACCAGAGGAAUAAGCACCGGCUAACUCCGUGCCAGCAGCCGCGGUAAUACGGAGGGUGCGAGCGUUAUCCGGAUUUACUGGGUUUAAAGGGUGCGUAGGUGGGCUUAUAAGUCAGUGGUGAAAUCUCCGAGCUUAACUUGGAAACUGCCGUUGAUACUAUAGGUCUUGAAUUAUCUGGAGGUAAGCGGAAUAUGUCAUGUAGCGGUGAAAUGCUUAGAUAUGACAUAGAACACCAAUUGCGAAGGCAGCUUACUACAUAUAAAUUGACGCUGAGGCACGAAAGCGUGGGGA
rnacentral:rRNA from 1 species